AACGAACGCUGGCGGCAGGCUUAACACAUGCAAGUCGAACGCCCCGCAAGGGGAGUGGCAGACGGGUGAGUAACGCGUGGGAAUCUACCGUACCCUACGGAACAACAGUUGGAAACGACUGCUAAUACCGUAUACGCCCUAAGGGGGAAAGAUUUAUCGGGGUAUGAUGAGCCCGCGUUGGAUUAGCUAGUUGGUGGGGUAAAGGCCUACCAAGGCGACGAUCCAUAGCUGGUCUGAGAGGAUGAUCAGCCACAUUGGGACUGAGACACGGCCCAAACUCCUACGGGAGGCAGCAGUGGGGAAUAUUGGACAAUGGGCGCAAGCCUGAUCCAGCCAUGCCGCGUGAGUGAUGAAGGUCUUAGGAUUGUAAAGCUCUUUCACCGAUGAAGAUAAUGACGGUAGUCGGAGAAGAAGCCCCGGCUAACUUCGUGCCAGCAGCCGCAGUAAGAC
rnacentral:rRNA from 1 species